rnacentral:lncRNA from 1 species
AGAAAGGACCCUGGCCAUCCAGCAGAGCAGCAGGUACCACAAGGCACCCGGACGACUUCCGUUUCUUCCCUACGGUCGACCUGGGCCGACUCAAUGCGAAAGAGCCCUCGUCCAACCAGCGGCCACUCUCUAAGGAUUGGAUGAAGUGAUGGCAACUGUGUAAUGGAGCAGUGCUGAAGUUGGUACACACUAAAAAGGAAAAAAGGUGCAAAUGACAGGAUGAAGUGGAGGAUGAAACACAGCACUGCCUAAUGGCCCCAAAUGAAGUUGCUUGCUGUGACCCAUGUGUUGCUUUAUACAAUGACUCAUCUUUUGCACUGUUCAUUCCUUCUUUUGCAAGAGUUCAGUUUCUCUGCAUGUCACGCCUAAAGCUGCAGGCAGGCAGGCAUAAAUGCAUUUUAAAGGAUAUGUGUCCCCACAUAGAAAAGAUGGAAGCACAAAGGUAUGUCAUUGCAAAUGCUGACUGCUUACCCUUAUUUUGCGGCUGAGAAUGGGGCAGUCAUAGGCUGCAGAAACACGUGCUGGGAACCUCUCUGGAGAUGCCAGCCUGUCCUGGGCAAGGCACCUGCAAGCCCCAAUUUAUUUCAAUGUCACACUGCUCAUCCAUGCCCCCUUCACUCAUCCGAGGAGUCCUCUUACACUUCAGUGAACAGAAUUGGCUUUAAACCCAAAGGAAUAAACAAAUCCUGAACUGUU